rnacentral:rRNA from 1 species
GUAAUGCGUAGGAAGCUGCCCGAUAGAGGGGGAUACCAGUUGGAAACGACUGUUAAUACCGCAUAAUGUCUACGGACCAAAGUGUGGGACCUUCGGGCCACAUGCUAUCGGAUGCGCCUACGUGGGAUUAGCUAGUUGGUGAGGUAAUGGCUCACCAAGGCGACGAUCUCUAGCUGGUUUGAGAGGAUGAUCAGCCACACUGGAACUGAGACACGGUCCAGACUCCUACGGGAGGCAGCAGUGGGGAAUAUUGGACAAUGGGCGCAAGCCUGAUCCAGCCAUGCCGCGUGUGUGAAGAAGGCCUUCGGGUUGUAAAGCACUUUCAGCGAGGAGGAAGGGUGGUGUGUUAAUAGCACAUCAUUUUGACGUUACUCGCAGAAGAAGCACCGGCUAACUCUGUGCCAGCAGCCGCGGUAAUACAGAGGGUGCAAGCGUUAAUCGGAAUUACUGGGCGUAAAGCGCACGUAGGCGGUUUUUUAAGUCAGAUGUGAAAGCCCCGGGCUCAACCUGGGAAUUGCAUUUGAAACUGGAAAACUAGAGUGUGUGAGAGGGGGGUAGAAUUCCAAGUGUAGCGGUGAAAUGCGUAGAGAUUUGGAGGAAUACCAGUGGCGAAGGCGGCCCCCUGGCACAACACUGACGCUCAGGUG